AUAUACUAGCGAGGAUGGGUGUGAUUCCCUACCGGUGGUUAAAGUCCACAAGCCUAUUUGGGGUUGAUCUGCUGAAAUUGCAGAACCGACAGUAAAGUCUGGAAGGGAGUUAGUAAAG
rnacentral:ncRNA from 1 species